rnacentral:rRNA from 1 species
UGGACGAAAGUCUGACGGAGCAACGCCGCGUGAGUGAUGAAGGUUUUCGGAUCGUAAAACUCUGUUGUUAGGGAAGAACAAGUACCGUUCGAAUAGGGCGGUACCUUGACGGUACCUAACCAGAAAGCCACGGCUAACUACGUGCCAGCAGCCGCGGUAAUACGUAGGUGGCAAGCGUUGUCCGGAAUCAUUGGGCGUAAAGCGCGCGCAGGUGGUUCCUUAAGUCUGAUGUGAAAGCCCCCGGCUCAACCGGGGAGGGUCAUUGGAAACUGGGGAACUUGAGUGCAGAAGAGGAAAGUGGAAUUCCACGUGUAGCGGUGAAAUGCGUAGAGAUGUGGAGGAACACCAGUGGCGAAGGCGACUUUCUGGUCUGUAACUGACACUGAGGCGCGAAAGCGUGGGGAGCGAACAGGAUUAGAUACCCUGGUAGUCCACGCCGUAAACGAUGAGUGCUAAGUGUUAGGGGGUUUCCGCCCCUUAGUGCUGCAGCAAACGCAUUAAGCACUCCGCCUGGGGAGUACG